rnacentral:rRNA from 1 species
AGAGUUUGAUCCUGGCUCAGGAUGAACGCUAGCGGCAGGCUUAAUACAUGCAAGUCGUGGGGCAGCGCGGUAGCAAUACUGGCGGCGACCGGCAAACGGGUGCGGAACACGUACGCAACCUUCCUUUAAGCGGGGGAUAGCCCAGGGAAACUUGGAUUAAUACUCCCAUAACAUUAUGAAAUGGCAUCAUUUUAUAAUUA